CGAGAAGUAGCUUAGCUUGGUAGAGCACUUGGUUUGGGACCAAGGGGUCGCAGGUUCAAAUCCUGUCUUCUCGACCA
rnacentral:tRNA from 1 species